AUGAAUCAAAAUAUUGUGAAAUUUGUGGAAAAACAGUUGAAAAAUGAGGAAGUUAAAAGAGAAGAUAAUUUUUGGAAACCAAAUCGCACCGCUGCCCCCAGAUUGCCUGCAAAUUUAAUUAAAAGGAAGCCGGAAUGGGCUCCGAAGCCUGACCCACCCAAACCUAAAAACAAAUAUCUGUACCUGAGACAAGAUUUCCUCAAGAGGCUGUAUGGUGCCUCAAAAAUAAACAAAGAUUUUUGCAUAGAAAACCUCAAAGCUAACAUAGAACCAAGUUUUGCACACAUGUGGAAAGUAGGUAAAUUGACAAUGGCGAAUAUCUUGAAAUUGAGUCAGCUAGAUCUAUUGCAGCAACCCGUGAAGGGGCUUAACAGUCAAAGCGUUGAGCCCUAUUUUCAGUUUUGUAGACAUUUUAUAUUCCUCAACCCCGAAUUGGUCACAACAGUCUCGAAGAAAAUUCACAAGAUUGAAGCAGGACUGACAGCAGAAGAAGCUGACAAAGAAAAGAAAACAAAUGUUAAUUUUGAUGAAGUACGAGAGUCUACAGCUUUGAGUAAGACCGGAGUAGUUGAAGUGUCAUCAGCGCACAAGCAUGAAUUGCAGACUCUAACAAACCUCGAUACAAUUGAAGGAGCAAAAAAGAAAAUUUUAGAAAAGCUCGCGGCAAACAGAGAUUAUAUUUUGGAUCUGAAACGUAAAGCUGGAUCAAGCCUUUUUGUAGAUCAGUCCUUUGAUGAUGUUACUUUAUUGUCAUACCUCAAAUUGUGUCAGACAUUUAAAAAUUUUGAUGUCGACUUCCUUGCUCAGGUUCAACCUAAACUAGUAAAAUCAUCUCCUUCUGCAAAUUUAAUACCCAGCAACAAUGAGAGCUCUAUAGCCUCAAGUGAAAAAACUUUGUCGGCCUCUUCAAAUGAAGGGAGAAUUAGCAAUAAUUCUUGUACAUCAACCAACUCGCCCACUGCUCGCUCAACCGCUUCAAAGGGUAAAGACUGCCAUGAAAAUCUCAGGUCUCUAAAUUAUGAAGAACUUAAGCAAUAUCUUCCUUGUAAAGCAGCAAGCAAUGUGGCUUGUACAACUAUAGAUCCGAAAUUAUCAUCAAUCCUUCAAAAAGCCAUGAGUGACCUAGCAAGGUCAACUGAAAAGGACUGUGUUCAAUUUAAGACUGAAGGUAGUGUAGUUCCUGCUAUUUUUAAUUUGCUAAAAAGUUCUCACACACUAAGUCCCAAAGAUGUUGAAAAAUCAUAA
rnacentral:lncRNA from 1 species